CAGCACCUCAAGUGGUCAGGAUGAUUAUUGGGCCUAAAGCAUCCGUAGCCGGCGCUGUAAGUUUUCGGUUAAAUCUGUACGCUCAACGCACAGGCUGCCGGGAAUACUGCAGCGCUAGGGAGUGGGAGAGGUAGACGGUACUCGGUAGGAAGGGGUAAAAUCCUUUGAUCUAUUGAUGACCACCUGUGGCGAAGGCGGUCUACCAGAACACGUCCGACGGUGAGGGAUGAAAGCUGGGGGAGCAAAACGGAUUAGAUACCCGAGUAGUCC
rnacentral:rRNA from 1 species